GAGUUUGAUCCUGGCUCAGAUUGAACGCUGGCGGCAUGCCUUACACAUGCAAGUCGAACGGCAGCACGGGAGCUUGCUCCUGGUGGCGAGUGGCGAACGGGUGAGUAAUGCAUCGGAACGUAUCCUGGAGUGGGGGAUAACGUAGCGAAAGUUACGCUAAUACCGCAUAUUCUGUGAGCAGGAAAGCGGGGGACCUUCGGGCCUCGCGCUCUUGGAGCGGCCGAUGUCGGAUUAGCUAGUUGGUGAGGUAAAGGCUCACCAAGGCGACGAUCCGUAGCAGGUCUGAGAGGAUGAUCUGCCACACUGGAACUGAGACACGGUCCAGACUCCUACGGGAGGCAGCAGUGGGGAAUUUUGGACAAUGGGGGCAACCCUGAUCCAGCCAUGCCGCGUGAGUGAAGAAGGCCUUCGGUUGUAAG
rnacentral:rRNA from 1 species